rnacentral:tRNA from 1 species
CGGAGACGACCGGCACGGUGACCGGGCCUGGCCUGGGACCAGGACGCACGGGGUUCGACUCCCCGGUUUCCGAC